AUUACAUUAAGUUAUUAACAAUAAAAAAUUAUUUAUACCUUUUUUAUUUCUAACUGUGUAGCAUGUAUAAAUACAUGUAUACAACCAAGAGUUUUCUCUUCUACAUAUCUAACAUUAAUUACAUAUUUAAUCAAGAAAAACAAAAUUGUUUGUGUAAACUAGACGAUUAAGAUACUUUGGAGAGAAUCUCAUAAAGAAUUCAGCCAAGAAACUCAAGUGAAAAUAACUUCCUCUAGAAGAUCAUCAAAAAUCAAGUCCUCCACCUCAAGCCCCGCGCAUUCACUGUCAAAUUGCAGGUUCAUCCACCCAUCACUCUUUGCUAAAUCUCCACUCACAAUAUGAUCCAAUAAUUGGUCAGCCUCUGGAAUUGAGCUCAAAUACCAGCUCAUAUUAGCCCACACCUCUUCAAGAACGUGCUGCCCUACAGGCAUUGGACGGAUGUGGGAAAGCGCAGACAAAGGCCUUGGAUAAUAGGUGUAUGAUUUUGCAUAAAUCUCCAUUAAUACCUCAUUGAUUAGAUCAAAUAAGAGCAGGUGAUUACAACGGUAACCUUCAACAUUUCCUGAACACUCAGGAUCAAGGACCAUACAAUCUUCUUCCAUUUCCUCAAAUAGACAAGGAUCCAUUGGUUGGUUAUUUGAAUGCCAUGUUCCAAGCAACUCAGUCCCGCUGAAACCUGAUAUUUCAAGUAUGUCUCUCACAUAAUCAAAUUCAGCCUUCUCUUUAGCACCCACAAGAAUUGUGAGAUGCUUGCUUAGAAUAUCAAUUUUUUCUGCUGUUGGUGUAUCCUUGCUAAUUGUUUCUAUUAGCUGGUCCUCCAAAGAAUCAAUUAUGCUGGGAAGGGGAGGGCUUGUCAUCCCUUCUAGAUCUGCUUCAACGUAUUGCAUAUCUUCUGAAAUGGGAAAACUUGCAGGAAUCGUUGUUUCCUCUUCACAUUUGGAAUCAGGCACAUGGACACUAUUGGGUUCUGCCAGUUCAAUAGAAGAUUUACUUUGGGUUUCCGUAUCCUCCUCCUCAGAUGCAUCUUCCAUUGUCAACAAGUUGCCCAAAUCAUCACCAACUAGACCCAACUCUGCUUCAGGGCAGAUAUCACACACUGUUGUCUUCCCCAACUGAUCUCCAUUAAUUGAAUUUGUUUCACUGUCCAUAGUCUGUUGAAUAUUACUUUCUACUCGACUUUCUGCAUCGAAU
rnacentral:misc_RNA from 1 species